GACGAACGCUGGCGGCGUGCUUAACACAUGCAAGUCGAACGAAGAGCGACGGAAGCUUGCUUCUAUCCAUCUUCGUGGCGCACGGGUGAGUCACGCGUAAUCAACCUGCCCUUCAGAGGGGGACAACAGUUGGAAACGACUGAUAAUACCGCAUACGAUCUAAUCUCGGCAUCGAGGAGGGAUGAACGGUGGCCCCUACAUGUAAGCUAUCACUGACGGAGGGGAUUGCGUCUGGUUAGCUAGUUGGAGGGGAAACGGCCCACCAAGGCGAUGCUCAGUAGCCGGUCUGAGAGGAUGAACGGCCACAUUGGGAAUGGGACACCGCCCAGACUCCUACGGGAGGCAGCAGUGGGGAAUCUUCCGCAAUGGACGAAAGUCUGACCGGGCAACGCCGCGUGAGUGAUGACGGCCUUCGGGUUGUAAAGCUCUGUUAAUCGGGACGAAAGGCCUUCUUGCGAAUAGUGAGAAGGAUUGACGGUACCGGAAUAGAAAGCCACGGCUAACUACGUG
rnacentral:rRNA from 1 species